rnacentral:rRNA from 1 species
AUACGGAGGGUGCAAGCGUUACUCGGAAUCACUGGGCGUAAAGCGCGCGCAGGCGGCUAUUUAAGUUGGAUGUGAAAGCCUAUGGCUCAACCAUAGAACUGCAUCCAAAACUAUUUAGCUAGAGUGUGGGAGAGGAAGAUGGAAUUAGUUGUGUAGGGGUAAAAUCCGUAGAGAUAACUAGGAAUACCAAAAGCGAAGGCAAUCUUCUGGAACACUACUGACGCUAAGGCGCGAAAGCGUGGGGAGCAAACAGGAUUAGAUACCCUAGUAGUCC